rnacentral:lncRNA from 1 species
AAUCAUACGCGAUAAAUCCAUUUAUCCAAGUGCAUCUGCUUUGCCUGUCUCUGGAGGUGAGUGCACGUUUCUAUAAACGCCACCAGUGAUAAUGUUGACCCAGAUUUACUACAUGACUGGUCUGUUAAAAGAAAGUCUCACGUCUGGCCUCCCGGUGGAGAAAAAAAUUAUAUCUAAUUUGCACUUGUUACGUGUUUCCCUUCAACUUUGGCCCUUGUAUUAGACAGAGAUCUGAAACAUCAAAAUUCUUCUUUCAUCAAAUUUUAAAAAAGGUUGCACAAAUGUUGCAAUUUAUCAAAGGAAAAAUUGCUAAUUCAAUCAGUUUUGUUUACAGGCAUGGAUGAAUUUGCAUAGCUUAUCUAACAAAAAUAGGAACCAUGAAACUCAAGGAAAAGUCUCGAGUUCAUGGAUUACCGAACGUUUCCUGGGACAGUUCCAGCAGAGAAGACAACUCCAGAUCCGCUGAGGACAGCCUCCUUCCAACACGCACAGAAAACCCUGGCAAACAACUAUGACCAUUCUAGAGAUCGACCGGACCUGAAACACGGUGAUCUUUUUUAGUGUCAGCUACAAAGGGAGAAAAAAGGGAGAAAAAAGCUGUCGAAAUCCAAAAAGCAGCAGGCAUGUUGGGAAUCGGAAAUGAUGUGCACGGGAUUGAUCACGGAUUUGUGCUUGUUCGAAUGAGAUCUCUGAAGUGAUGGAAUGCAAAGAAUCAAGUGAAAAACAAAAACUUCCAAAUUGUAAUUUUGGAAAAUGAGCAUAAAUUCAGAAAACAAAAUCAGCAUGCUAAGCAAUCCAAGUUCCAAGUGUUUCGCAAACAGAAGAAAUCCAUCUUUUGAACAAACACGUGCAAAAGGAGUAAUCUAGUAAUAUUCCUUCAUUAGAGCUUUCCACUACUUGCAUUUUCAAAGCAUUCCCGUAAGGCUUGACCCAAAAACCUGAAAGCAGCUUGCUUGUGAAGUCGAGUAUCUCUGUUAUAAGGCCCAGGCUCAAAUUUCCAGUUGCGAUAUUGAAACAAAAAUUAUAAUUAAAGGAAAGAACAUUCAACCAGAUAAAUCUUAAAAUUUAAGACUACCAUUAAUUAAGAAUCAUUUUUAUUGUAUUUUGAACUAACAAUACACUAAGCAGGAAGUAAAAUCCUCACGGUUCAAAAAUCAGCCUAGACAGAUAAAAGGGAAUUGUUCCAAACUCCCACUAACAUGGUCUAUUUUGCAGGCAUCAAGUCUAUUUUGCAGGCAUCAAGGCCUCUGUCUCCAAUCUUCUGGGCCAUCAGUUAUGAAGAAUAGAAAAUUAACAUGAAUAUGUGAUCCACGUUCAAACACUCAAACGUUUAAAAACUCAGGUUACUUGGCAUACUAGAUUCUAGAGCAUCAUCACCAACCAUUCAAUUUUCGCAUUAUAAGAAUUUUUCUUAUAGCUUCCUAAAUUCACAUUCAAAGUGUUAACAUGCGAGCACAAUGUUCUAAGAAAUUUCAGAUAUUAAAUAAGUCAUCCGCAAUUAUAUGUAUUUACAAUUUGAUAAUAUCUUGGAAAAUUCAAACCCAAGAAGAUAAGGGGCCGGGGAGCGGAGCCCCUUACCAACGACACCUUAAAAAUUAGAAUCUGAUGCUAAUGUAAACGCAUGUACUUUGAUUUAGUCAAGGUAAACGCAAUGAAAUAAGACAACAAAUAUCUUUGAUUAGUAUUAAUCCCUCCAUAGAAUCAUACGCGAUAAAUCCAUUUAUCCAAGUGCAUCUGCUUUGCCUGUCUCUGGAGGUGAGUGCACGUUUCUAUAAACGCCACCAGUGAUAAUGUUGACCCAGAUUUACUACAUGACUGGUCUGUUAAAAGAAAGUCUCACGUCUGGCCUCCCGGUGGAGAAAAAAAUUAUAUCUAAUUUGCACUUGUUACGUGUUUCCCUUCAACUUUGGCCCUUGUAUUAGACAGAGAUCUGAAACAUCAAAAUUCUUCUUUCAUCAAAUUUUAAAAAAGGUUGCACAAAUGUUGCAAUUUAUCAAAGGAAAAAUUGCUAAUUCAAUCAGUUUUGUUUACAGGCAUGGAUGAAUUUGCAUAGCUUAUCUAACAAAAAUAGGAACCAUGAAACUCAAGGAAAAGUCUCGAGUUCAUGGAUUACCGAACGUUUCCUGGGACAGUUCCAGCAGAGAAGACAACUCCAGAUCCGCUGAGGACAGCCUCCUUCCAACACGCACAGAAAACCCUGGCAAACAACUAUGACCAUUCUAGAGAUCGACCGGACCUGAAACACGGUGAUCUUUUUUAGUGUCAGCUACAAAGGGAGAAAAAAGGGAGAAAAAAGCUGUCGAAAUCCAAAAAGCAGCAGGCAUGUUGGGAAUCGGAAAUGAUGUGCACGGGAUUGAUCACGGAUUUGUGCUUGUUUCGAAUGAGAUCUCUGAAGUGAUGGAAUGCAAAGAAUCAAGUGAAAAACAAAAACUUCCAAAUUGUAAUUUUGGAAAAUGAGCAUAAAUUCAGAAAACAAAAUCAGCAUGCUAAGCAAUCCAAGUUCCAAGUGUUUCGCAAACAGAAGAAAUCCAUCUUUUGAACAAACACGUGCAAAAGGAGUAAUCUAGUAAUAUUCCUUCAUUAGAGCUUUCCACUACUUGCAUUUUCAAAGCAUUCCCGUAAGGCUUGACCCAAAAACCUGAAAGCAGCUUGCUUGUGAAGUCGAGUAUCUCUGUUAUAAGGCCCAGGCUCAAAUUUCCAGUUGCGAUAUUGAAACAAAAAUUAUAAUUAAAGGAAAGAACAUUCAACCAGAUAAAUCUUAAAAUUUAAGACUACCAUUAAUUAAGAAUCAUUUUUAUUGUAUUUUGAACUAACAAUACACUAAGCAGGAAGUAAAAUCCUCACGGUUCAAAAAUCAGCCUAGACAGAUAAAAGGGAAUUGGGGAGGGGGAUCUUUCUCCAAAAUACAGAACCAGUCAAUCCCUAAAUGAGACCAACAAAAUCAAACCCUAAAUGAAACCAGAAUCAAGAGAAAGAAUGGCACCUUUGACAUGCUUUGAUGAUAUCUAAGCAAUAAACAAACACACAAUCUUUUCUGUCUCCCUCCAUUCCUUUUUAGGAUUAAAUCAUCAACCCUUAUAAAUCCACAGUGUAGAUGAGUCUGUAUCCGCAGUGCGUGCUACAGUAAAAACGUUUUUUUUUUUCGUAAUGUAAUUGUAAUUUUAUAGUGCCGAGGAUAGUAGCACGACUGUGUGUUCACGGUUCUGCUGCUAGUAAUGGUGCGGAGAUAUCUGGUGUUUGGAUUUUGGGAAGAGAUCGGAUGGUUUGUGGGCUGUCCGUCGGUUUGAAAGGAGGAAGAAGGGGGCAGGGCAUCUAUGGGUUAUCAGCUGGAGUUUGGCGUUGGCUUGAUGGCGUGGAGGAAGAGUGUGGCACAGCUGGUGGGUCUGGCGCAACUGGUUCUCUUCUGGUGGAGGGAGAAGUGGGAAGGGGUAGAUAUGUAAUUUUUAUUUUUGAGGUUGUCUUAUCGGUUAGGUGA